ACUCAGUUCACGCCCUGCCUAGUUAUCUACAGCUGUAAUCGCUGCGGUAUUUCGGCACAUUAACGUUUGGGAUUGUUUACUCAUAACCUACAACUUCUGUAUCAUAAGUGACGCUGGGGACAACAUUUAAAGUGACGUCGUUUCUGGGUCUCCGUCGAACAAUGACGAGAUCGAUAUCCUGGGUAUAGAGUUCCUGUUUACAUUGGUGACCACCGCCAGAGACGAGAAGCAUAUUCACACCACCAGUCUAUACCUACCACUAUACGUCACUGUCGUCUGCCAGUUUCUGAUUGACAAUUUAAAGAAUAAUCGGCUGCAAUAUGGCGACUGGCGAAGAAAACUACGAUAUCGAUGCCUUGACAGAAAAGCUAAAGGCCUUUGCCUUGACACAGACCAAAUCAGCAGCAAAGAUGGAUAGCAAAACAGUGGGCAAGGUUUGUAAGGAAUGCUGGCCAAAAGCCCUACAGACGAGGGUGGACUCCAGUGUGUUUCCAAAAGUCAUGGAUAAAACCACAAAGGGCAUGGUUUGGAAUCCAUUUACAUAGAUAAUCUGUGUAUCUAGGUCUAUAAGCCUUGAAAACAAGGAACAAAUCCGAAAGUUUAUCUCAGAAGCCGCCAUUCAGUAUGACGACAUUAAAGAGAAGAGCAAAGAUUUUAAAAAACACGAAAAAUUCCUGGCCGAAAAGAUUAUUGAAUCUCAGCUGGGGAUAAAGAAAACGGAAGUUUCCAAGACAGGGGCAAUAGAUCGUCUGACCGACACCUCCAAAUACACGGGGUCACACAAGGAGAGGUUUGAUGAGGCGGGGAAGGGUAAAGGUGUGGAGGGCCGAGUGGACAAGGUAGAUAAAUCCGGAUAUGUCGGCAACUACAAAGGACAGGGCACUUAUGACGAGAAACACUGAGUAACGUAGAACGACCAUCACUUUGUGUCUUAUCAACUCCACCUAACCUCCAGUUUUGAAAGUUUUAUUGCAUGAUGUAUUCUUACUUUUAUGAAUACUUACUCAAAUAUUUUGUAAAUUUUAUCAAAUCUCGAACUUAGAUUUUGUGAGCGUAAAAAAUAUGUGUAGUAAACUUAGUGUAAACAUUAGAUACCUCUUGUAUCUUUAAUCUAGUAAACUUAUAACUGUAACAACCAAGUAGAAUGUAUAUUACUCAUGGUAUAAAGAUAGAAAUAGUACAAUCCAUGUGAACAACAGUGCAAUAAAAGAAAUAUGGUUGUAUCUUUAGUAAAUGUCAGUACUGAGAUAAUAAAUAGACAACCUGAUAUAUAUGUUC
rnacentral:misc_RNA from 1 species